GUGACGAUCUUUUGGGCGGAACCAAAAGUCGGGAAACUUUGGUUCCGCCCGGAUGUUUCCGUCCAGACCGAAGAACGGAAACACCGGACAUCCGGCAGAUUUGCGGAGGCUGUAAUCAGCCGAUUGGGCACAGCUGUGCCUAGUUAAAAGAGAUCGCCAGGCAAUUGGAUAACUGAAGCACAGAAGGGAGUAUUUAAAGCACAGUUAAAUGACAGUUCAGCAGUUCGGGCACGAGAGGGAGAUUGACACGGGGAGAGCUCCUCUGCUUAGGGCAGGAGAGGUAAAUACGUACCUUUUGAAGAGCCCGCAGGCUCUGUUGAUCCGGGCUGCGCUAGAAGCGCGCGGAAAGAAGACAGGAGCUGCCUGGGGUGAAAGAAAGGCGAUACGUGAGUGGAGAAAAGGAGCACCCCGAAGAGAGCAUUGUGCUGUCAAGCCUGUGCUUAGUGUGUGCUGGGAAACGGAGCUGUGCUCAUUGUUGGACGUGGUGGCUGUCUGUGGUUCUCUCUCUCUCUCGUUGCAGUUUUGAUUGUGGAUCUGCUGGAGUAAACAGGAAAAUCCUAUGGGUAAAAAGGAACUUGUUCUAACCAAUAUUGAAGGAGUAAAGCAGGAAGAAAAUUGACCUUCUGGUACAACGUAAACAAAGGCUAUUCGCCGUGAGUAUACCCUUUUUGUGUGGAGUAACUGGCAAAAGUUAACUUGUGUAACUAUUGGAAACCUCCAGGAGAAGGAGGGCGGCCCUACCCCUAUAAGAGUGUGGUGGGCGAGCCGUGAGAAGUCCAACUUCAAACAGCCACCGCAACGAGACUUAUUGUGGUCGUAUUUCCCAUCGCCUUAUCGUAGCCCAAGCGCAGUGGAGGACACCGGGUGCUUCCCUUGUUGUGGUGCACUUAUAGUGUGGUGAGUGAGACUGUGUAAUAAAUCUUUUUCACGUUUGGAGUGGUGCUGUGUAUAUUGCUGUGGGUUGCUGUGUGUCUUGUAGACGAAGCCCCGCAUCAUCCAUUUUCUUCCACUGGGCAGAGGACGGAGAGGCCAACGACUACAGAAAUCACUGUUACUAUAAGUAGUGUGCUGUUUGGAGUGCGAAGGGACGCAGACUAAGAGCUGUCCGUGACCGUGAGUAAACCAUUGGAAAACAUUUCGUGGUGUGAACUUCCCUGUGCCUGUUUUCGUCGCAGAGUCAGAGGCGAAAGGGUCCGCCGCCCCGUGGUCUCUACGAAAAGGGCGCCCCCGUCUAGAAAUCGAUCGGCCUAUGGGCAUUGGAGAUAGGGCAGCGCUCGACCCGGUGAGGUGGUGUGGGACCUUCGCCCCUCUGUUGACCUACGGAGGAGAACCAUACCUGCCAGAAAGCUGUAACCAGCAGAGCCGCGGCCACCUGUGGAGAGAGAGCAGAACGAGAGUGAAUCAUUGAAGAGCAAACUGUGAACGUGAUACCUACCCAGAAAGCUGUAAACAGCAGAGCCGGUGAGAAAUACUCGAAGUCUCAGUAACAGUGUCUUUGUGCCCUAGCGGCCACCUGUGGAGAGAGAGCAGAACGAGAGUGAAUCAUUGGAGAGCAAACUGUGAACGUGAUACCUACCCAGAGAGCUGCAAGCAGCAGAGCCGGUGAGAAUUACUCGAAGUCUCAGCAACAGUGUCUUUGUGUUCUAGCGGCCACCUGUGGAGAAAGAACGGAAAACGAAGACGAACAUGAGGAGAACGGACGGUGUGAAGAUACAGUGGUGGCGGAGGAGAGCCUAGAGUGGCCAUUGUUUUAAGUCCCCCGUUUCCCCUUCCCUAUUUAAUAUUUUUAAGUAAUUUAAUAAAGGAUAUUUUAAUUUUAUGCUUACCUUGUGUGUCUGGUCAUUGGGGUGGCUUUGGGAAUCUCCUCGAGGUGGAGAAAGGGGCGUGACCUUAUUUACAUCUGGGUCCACCCCUACCUGUGACAGAUUUGGCGUAGUCGGCAGUCCACCUCGGGUUGAGACCAAAGUCCCCCAAUGGCCUACCACAUUUCUUUUAAAGAACAGCUCCCAUCAACACUCCAUCAGUCCCCAAACAACGCGUUCUCGGGACGAGAACGGAUUGGCGGGGGAGGAUGUCACAAGGUGACGAUCUUUUGGGCGGAACCAAAAGUCGGGAAACUUUGGUUCCGCCCGGAUGUUUCCGUCCAGACCGAAGAACGGAAACACCGGACAUCCGGCAGAUUUGCGGAGGCUGUAAUCAGCCGAUUGGGCACAGCUGUGCCUAGUUAAAAGAGAUCGCCAGGCAAUUGGAUAACUGAAGCACAGAAGGGAGUAUUUAAAGCACAGUUAAAUGACAGUUCAGCAGUUCGGGCACGAGAGGGAGAUUGACACGGGGAGAGCUCCUCUGCUUAGGGCAGGAGAGGUAAAUACGUACCUUUUGAAGAGCCCGCAGGCUCUGUUGAUCCGGGCUGCGCUAGAAGCGCGCGGAAAGAAGACAGGAGCUGCCUGGGGUGAAAGAAAGGCGAUACGUGAGUGGAGAAAAGGAGCACCCCGAAGAGAGCAUUGUGCUGUCAAGCCUGUGCUUAGUGUGUGCUGGGAAACGGAGCUGUGCUCAUUGUUGGACGUGGUGGCUGUCUGUGGUUCUCUCUCUCUCUCGUUGCAGUUUUGAUUGUGGAUCUGCUGGAGUAAACAGGAAAAUCCUAUGGGUAAAAAGGAACUUGUUCUAACCAAUAUUGAAGGAGUAAAGCAGGAAGAAAAUUGACCUUCUGGUACAACGUAAACAAAGGCUAUUCGCCGUGAGUAUACCCUUUUUGUGUGGAGUAACUGGCAAAAGUUAACUUGUGUAACUAUUGGAAACCUCCAGGAGAAGGAGGGCGGCCCUACCCCUAUAAGAGUGUGGUGGGCGAGCCGUGAGAAGUCCAACUUCAAACAGCCACCGCAACGAGACUUAUUGUGGUCGUAUUUCCCAUCGCCUUAUCGUAGCCCAAGCGCAGUGGAGGACACCGGGUGCUUCCCUUGUUGUGGUGCACUUAUAGUGUGGUGAGUGAGACUGUGUAAUAAAUCUUUUUCACGUUUGGAGUGGUGCUGUGUAUAUUGCUGUGGGUUGCUGUGUGUCUUGUAGACGAAGCCCCGCAUCAUCCAUUUUCUUCCACUGGGCAGAGGACGGAGAGGCCAACGACUACAGAAAUCACUGUUACUAUAAGUAGUGUGCUGUUUGGAGUGCGAAGGGACGCAGACUAAGAGCUGUCCGUGACCGUGAGUAAACCAUUGGAAAACAUUUUGUGGUGUGAACUUCCCUGUGCCUGUUUUCGUCGCAGAGUCAGAGGCGAAAGGGUCCGCCGCCCCGUGGUCUCUACGAAAAGGGCGCCCCCGUCUAGAAAUCGAUCGGCCUAUGGGCAUUGGAGAUAGGGCAGCGCUCGACCCGGUGAGGUGGUGUGGGACCUUCGCCCCUCUGUUGACCUACGGAGGAGAACCAUACCUGCCAGAAAGCUGUAACCAGCAGAGCCGCGGCCACCUGUGGAGAGAGAGCAGAACGAGAGUGAAUCAUUGAAGAGCAAACUGUGAACGUGAUACCUACCCAGAAAGCUGUAAACAGCAGAGCCGGUGAGAAAUACUCGAAGUCUCAGUAACAGUGUCUUUGUGCCCUAGCGGCCACCUGUGGAGAGAGAGCAGAACGAGAGUGAAUCAUUGGAGAGCAAACUGUGAACGUGAUACCUACCCAGAGAGCUGCAAGCAGCAGAGCCGGUGAGAAUUACUCGAAGUCUCAGCAACAGUGUCUUUGUGUUCUAGCGGCCACCUGUGGAGAAAGAACGGAAAACGAAGACGAACAUGAGGAGAACGGACGGUGUGAAGAUACAGUGGUGGCGGAGGAGAGCCUAGAGUGGCCAUUGUUUUAAGUCCCCCGUUUCCCCUUCCCUAUUUAAUAUUUUUAAGUAAUUUAAUAAAGGAUAUUUUAAUUUUAUGCUUACCUUGUGUGUCUGGUCAUUGGGGUGGCUUUGGGAAUCUCCUCGAG